rnacentral:rRNA from 1 species
CCUACGGGUGGCAGCAGUGGGGAAUAUUGGGCAAUGGACGCAAGUCUGACCCAGCAACGCCGCGUGAAGGAAGAAGGCUCUCGGGUUGUAAACUUCCUUUUAGGCGGAAGAGCAGACGACGGUACCUCUUGAAUAAGCCACGGCUAACUACGUGCCAGCGGCCGCGGUAAUACGGAGGUGUCCAGCGGUGUCCGGAUUUACUGGGGGUAACGGGUGUGUAGGCGGUAGGACAAGUUAGAGGUGAAAUCUACGGGCUAAACCCGGGAACUGCAUUUGAAACUGUUUGUCUAGAGGGUCGGUGGGGUAAUCGGAAUUUCUAGUGUAGCGGUGAAAUGCGUAGAGAUUAGGCAGAACACC